rnacentral:rRNA from 1 species
GAUGAACGCUGGCGGCGUGCCUAAUACAUGCAAGUCGAGCGAACGGACGAGAAGCUUGCUUCUCUGAUGUUAGCGGCGGACGGGUGAGUAACACGUGGAUAACCUACCUACAAGACUGGGAUAACUUCGGGAAACCGGAGCUAAUACCGGAUGAUAUUUUGAACCGCAUGGUUCAAAAGUGAAAGACGGUCUUGCUGUCACUUAUAGAUGGAUCCGCGCUGCAUUAGCUAGUUGGUAAGGUAACGGCUUACCAAGGCAACGAUGCAUAGCCGACCUGAGAGGGUGAUCGGCCACACUGGAACUGAGACACGGUCCAGACUCCUACGGGAGGCAGCAGUAGGGAAUCUUCCGCAAUGGGCGAAAGCCUGACGGAGCAACGCCGCGUGAGUGAUGAAGGUCUUCGGAUCGUAAAACUCUGUUAUUAGGGAAGAACAUAUGUGUAAGUAACUGUGCACAUCUUGACGGUACCUAAUCAGAAAGCCACGGCUAACUACGUG